rnacentral:tRNA from 1 species
GCAUUGGUGGUUCAGUGGUAGAAUUCUCACCUUCCGUGCAGAAGACUUGGGUUCAAUUCCCGGCUAAUGCA